UGGGGAAUUUUGGACAAUGGGCGAAAGCCUGAUCCAGCAAUGCCGCGUGUGUGAAGAAGGCCUUCGGGUUGUAAAGCACUUUUGUCCGGAAAGAAAUGGCUCUGGUUAAUACCUGGGGUCGAUGACGGUACCGGAAGAAUAAGGACCGGCUAACUACGUGCCAGCAGCCGCGGUAAUACGUAGGGUCCAAGCGUUAAUCGGAAUUACUGGGCGUAAAGCGUGCGCAGGCGGUUGUGCAAGACCGAUGUGAAAUCCCCGAGCUUAACUUGGGAAUUGCAUUGGUGACUGCACGGCUAGAGUGUGUCAGAGGGGGGUAGAAUUCCACGUGUAGCAGUGAAAUGCGUAGAGAUGUGGAGGAAUAUCGAUGGCGAAGGCAGCCCCCUGGGAUAACACUGACGCUCAUGCACGAAAGCGUGGGGAGCAAACAGG
rnacentral:rRNA from 1 species